rnacentral:rRNA from 1 species
CCCUUAGAUGUUCUGGGCUGCACGCGCGCUACACUGAUGCGUUCAACGAGUGUACAACCUUGCCCGAUAGGGUUGGGUAACCUUCUGAACACGCAUCGUGAUGGGGAUAGAGUAUUGCAAUUAUUACUCUUCAACGAGGAAUUCCUAGUAAUGAUGGAUCAUCAGUUCAUCGUGAUUACGUCCCUGCCCUUUGUACACACCGCCCGUCGCUACUACCGAUUGAAUGAUUUAGUGAGGACUUCGGACUGGGACCGAUGCGGCUUUCGGGCUGCGUCGGUAUUCUGGAAAGAUGUCCAAACUGUAUCAUUUAGAGGAAGUAAAAGUCGUAACA